rnacentral:rRNA from 1 species
GUUGUGAAAGCAACCUGACGGUACUUGAGGAAUAAGCAUCGGCUAACUCCGUGCCAGCAGCCGCGGUAAUACGGAGGAUGCAAGCGUUAUCCGGAAUGAUUGGGCGUAAAGGGUCCGCAGGUGGCAAUGUAAGUCUGCUGUCAAAGAAUGAGGCUCAACCUCAUCAAGGCAGUGGAAACUACAUAGCUAGAGUACGGUCGGGGUAGAAGGAAUUCCUGGUGUAGCGGUGAAAUGCGUAGAGAUCAGGAAGAACACCGGUGUCGACGCGGCCG